GACGAACGCUGGCGGCGUGCUUAACACAUGCAAGUCGAACGGAAAGGCCCUGCUUUUGUGGGGUGCUCGAGUGGCGAACGGGUGAGUAAAACGUGAGUAACCUGCCCUUGACUUUGGGAUAACUUCAUGAAACUGGGGCCUAUACCGGGUAGGAGCUCCUGCUGCGUGUUGUGGGUUGGAGAGUGUCGGCGGUUGGUGAUGGUCUCGCGGCUUAUGAGCUUGUUGGUGGGGUAGUGGCUUACCAAGGCUUUGACGGGUAGCCGGCCUGAGAGGGUGACCGGCCAGAUUGGGACUGAGAUACGGCCCAGACGCCUACGGGAGGCAGCAGUGGGGAAUAGUGCACAAUGGGCGGAAGCCUGAUGCAGCAACGCCGCGUGCGUGAUGACGGCCUUCGGGUUGUAAACCGCGUUCGCCUGUGACGAAGCGUGAGGGACGGUAAUGGGUAAAGAAGCACCGGCUAACUACGUG
rnacentral:rRNA from 1 species